GUCUCUGUGGCGCAAUCCGGUUAGCGCAUUCGGCCCUUAACCAAAAGGUUGGUGGUUUGGGCCCACCUGGGGACG